AUUCAACAUGAUCGCACGCACGAUCUUGAAAUUGGUUCGCCACGACUGUCGUUUGGCACUUGUCACCCCUCUAUGGAGAUCUUGACCAUGGUUCCCUCGCUUGAUGGAGCUGUCAAUAGACUACCCUCGAUUGAUACCGAUCUUCCAGGACCUCCUUCUGGAUCCGGAUGGGAACUCACACGAGCUGGUGAUGCAGCACCAGUUACCCUUGAUAGCAUGGUUCCUUUCAGGGGACCUUGGGUUGUCCCAGACGUUCCGCAGACAACUCUCCUGCUCCUCGAUAACGCCUGGGCCCCGGGUACACGAGCAGCUUAUCGAGCUUCAUGGAGAUCGUGGUCUGGUUGGUGCAUGGAACGGGCAAUGGAUCCCGUAUCUGCCCCUCUACAUCUGAUCCUGGAGUUCCUUACGUUCCUGUUUGACUCGGGCAAGGCAUACCGCACGAUCAACCUUUCCCGCUCGGCUAUUUCGGCCGGUCACAAGGGUUUGGACGGUUCCCCUGUCGGCAGACAUCCCUUUGUAUGUCGCCUUCUCAAGGGUAUUCGCCUUGCUCGUUCUCCUCGGCCUCGUUUUUCUGCCUUUUGGGAUGUCAACGUGAUGUUACAGUUCCUGUCAUCAUGGUACCCUAACCAGGAACUGACUCUCAAGCAAUUGUCAUCCAAGCUCGUGAUGUUACUCUGUUUGGUCUCUUGCAAGAGGGUCUCUGACGUCAGGGCCCUGGAUUGGGACGCCAUUGCCUUCACUCCGGAAGGUGUUACUUUUGACAUAUCGAGGAGGACUAAGUCUGCAUCUAAGUCGUUUACAUACCCUAGGUUUUCAGGUUAUCCGGCACUCUGUCCGGUGGAUUGCCUUAAGGCUUACCUAGACGUUACACGAUCACUUCGUUCCUCCGAACUACAUGCCCUGUUCAUAUCCUUUAAAUCGCCUCACCGACCGGUUUCUACACCUACUCUGGCACGCUGGUUGCGUUGGCUGUUGUCUUCUGCGGGUAUAGACACCUCUGUAUUUACGCCUCAUUCUGUGCGAGGCGCGAUGGCUUUGAAAGCAUCCACAGUCGGAUGUCGUCUGGAAGACAUUAUGCGAGCGGCGGAUUGGUCUCGAGAAUCGACCUUUCGAGAAUUCUAUUUCAGACCAAUUGAACACAUCGGAUCUCGGGUGAUUGCACAGCUUUAAACUUGCAUAAUAUGAGC